UUUAACAACUCCACAGGUGAAUCUGAUGCACAACGAAGUUUGACUCACUCUCACUGAGAAAUGUGAGAUUUACAUAACUGCCCACAAGCCCAUAAACCAUAAAAUCCAGAAGAAUCAGGAGGCAUGAAUACUGGCUUGGUCAGAGAUCCAAGAGGUUGGAACUUCUCAAGGAUAGGAAUGGAAUUCUGGGAACUAGGGAUGUUCAUGCCAGGGGUCCUUGAUUAAGGCAGACAGAGCAAGACACACUCAUCUGCGAUGAAGAAGCCAAAGCCAAAUGGGGCCAUGCCACAGAACAAAAGAAUUUUUUGACUCACCAGGAAGGAGACAGCAGGACAUGAAUGUUUCAUAGUGGAACUAAAAUGACCAAAGUGGAAUGUUUAUGUUCUGGGCUCAGUGCUCAAGAGCGUAACCACGUCCCACUGCUAUUAGGGCAACAUCAGAGCCAGCAUUGGGUCACCAUGAAGAGAGAACGGCACCGAUGUUGAAACUCUGCCCAGGCUGAGUGUGUGGGAUUCCUGGAAAUCGUGUCUUGCAGAGUCUUGGACUCCUGAAACCAGUCGACAAGAAUUAUCGAUUGCCCUUGAUGAUACUUUAUCUUCAGCAAUCUCGGGAAUCAAAGACAGUGCCUACCUGGUUCUCUGUUGGGAUGCAAUGUGUCAAAUCUGGCAAUUUGACGUCUGGGGGCCUCUCAGAAGGCAGCUACACCUUCACAGUCCUGCGACUCCUGCAUCAGAGGAAAUAUUUCUGCUUCAGAGUCUUUGGCCCUGUGGGGUCAGCCAGGCAGGUGUAACUCAGCCAGUCUGGGAAACGCGCUUUGGUAUUUUCCUUUUGAUCUUCUCCUUUCAGGGGGAAACACACACCUAUUAGCAAUUGUUCUCUGAAUGGAGAUGGUUAUGCUUCAUUUUUAUGCCCUUUGCUCCUUGAUUGUCCAUGGGGGCUUCACACAAUACCAACAGAGGCUGAAGGCUUGUGUUUCUAUCAUCCACUAGAUGUUUACAGCUA